CUGAUCAUUAUGCAAAUGCCGCGGUUGCACCCGAGGCUCCCUGAUGGAAGUCCUGGUGUUGCUAUAGGUUUUAAGCCUGACUUUUCUAAGGCGAGGGAAAAAUGGCGAAGUCAGGUUUCCAAGCUUGAAAAUAGUGUGUUUUGGGCGGAAUGCAACCACCGUGGGACGCUUCUUGGUCUUAAGAAGCUAAUACAGGUGCUAUUGGGAAACGUUGAUGUUCUACAGCUCUCUACGUUUCACUGGAUGGAGCUGCUGGUGGCGCAUUUCCUACAUCUGAUACCUUUUUCUUUGGUCUUAGAUGGAAUGCGUAGCAUAGCUUCCAAGUGCAAAGGAUUGAAAAGUUCUGGGGACGAAGACCUUGAAGAACUUUUAUCUGCAAUUAUCAGCAACGACACCGAGGUAAAUGCUCUUCCCAGUACUAUACAGAUACUCUUUGCGAAGUGUACGAAGGUUUUCAAUGCCUGGAUGAUGGCGCAUGUUGAUGAUCUCCUGAUAGCAAAAGGGGAGGACGUUCGAUCUCUUCUUGAAGAAGACAGGCAAACUCUAGGCGGCUUGAGCUUGAAAGAACUCCAUCGUUUGGUUUAUUCUCAAGUACUGUCUUCGCACAGCUUAACCUGGCAGCUAGCACCUGUUUACCUCGCGGCUUGCCCAAAGCAAGGUCUGGGAAUGCUUGAAGCUCUCCUAAUGAAGCAGAGUUGUUCCAAUCAGAAACUGGCAUUGAAGGCACUAGAGAUAUGCCGCCUCUAUGAACCUGAUACCGUGAGCACAGCCAUCGCCAGGGCUGUUGGUGUUCAUAGUUUAAAGCAUGGAAAGAAGGGCCAAGGGAUAAUGUGGCUUCAAUUGGCCCGAGACGAGCAGAGGCUUUCUACUCUUGCGGAUAGCUUUUGAACACAAUAACGUCUGGUGAAGCUGAUAGUCUGGAUAAUCUCGAGCAUUUUGAGGGUCUCUGUGACAUCCUUGGCUCGGGAGCAACGAAGCAUCAAGGCCUGUCGUUCCUAGCAAGGUACAAAAGCUUUAAGGCAGCGGUGCAAAACAUCAGAGAUCUGCGUCGUAGGGAGGCUUCCUACACCGAAAACCUCGCUGCGCGAGGCAGAGCAGCGGUGACUUCUCUUCUCCAGCUUCUAAAAUCUGGAACCUUUCCACGUAAAUUCUGGCUGUCCUUGCUCCAAGAAUCGAUGGAGCUGCUGGAAUGGCCGGAGCAAGUGCUGGUUAGCGAGUCCGAAACAAACACUCUACUCUGCUGCCUCCAGGAACUCUUCCUCGCCAGGGACCGCCUAGAGAACGACAUCCUAGGCACCGCAGAGCCUGGCGCUGUGG